CCAGCAACACUUUAUCUGAAAAGGAUUUGCUGCGCAUCAAUUCUGAUUGCGAAUUUGUCUGAGCACUAUACAUAUAUCUUAUAUACUCAACGAAAACAACAUCCAACACAAACUUUGUUAUAGGCGGAAGCAAGUUAUAUGAGUGCUGAGUAAAAGUGAAGAACUGUACACUUAUUCUGGUUGAAAGGAAGUUGCCAUUUUUCAGCCCACAUGGGUGAUCGAUCAGCAUGGGAGUUAACAUAAAUGGUGAGAAAAUAAUCGUUGGAACAACGAGAGUAGAAGGAUAUGAGGUAAGUACUCAAAGUAUAGGCCCAAUAAUAUACACUCAUAGAAAUUUUAGACUUUUUUUUAAUCACUAACUUGGAAUCUAUCAAGGUUGUUUUAAGAAGAGGACAAUGGUUCUUAACCGCCCUUUAGAACCGUGUCUGGUUCUUUAUACAUGCUACUGUGUUAGAAAAUUUCUACUUAAAAUAUAAAAAAUCCUGCAGCAGAGUCGCGAGAACACCUGUAAUCUUAUUGCACUGUGUAAUCUUACAUGCAUUUGUGUAGAAUUACAGAAAUUUGGUAUAUGUAACCUUACAAAUUUAUUGUAAUAAAACUGUUUUCCCCCUUUUUUAAACAGACCUGUUCUGUAAAAAGUAGAAAAAAAUGUAGAAAAUCUUUCCUGUUACAACAAUUUACAGAAUGAUUUGGUUAUUUCUUUCUGUAAAUUCUGUUUUGAAAAUUUUUCUUCUCUGAUAUCUUUUUUUUUUCUUCAAACAGUGUAUAGAGUUACUGAUGGUUUGAAGAACCAAUUGCAUGGCAUGAUUCCUCACACCAUCAAGAACCCCAGCAUAAGAUGUAUAAAGAACGUACUAAAUGACUUUUUAGAACCCCCUUUUUGCUUCUUCGAAGAACCUUAAUAGGUUUCAGAUAUGGGAAAGGAAAGGUUGUAAUUAGCUAGUGUCUAAGAGUGUAGGACAAUAUAUGUUAGUACGCGUAGGGGGUGGGGUGUGUGUGUGUGUGUGUUUGUCCAGUGGAAUUCUAUCUUAAGUAUUUAUAUGUAUAUCAAAUAAGACAAUAUAUAAUUUACUGAUUACAAUACUAAUAAACAAUUUGCAUGAUUGUCGUAAGUGUAAACAAAAUAUACUAAUUUACUGAUUAAUUAAUUGCUGAAUUAUAAAUUUAUUAAGCAUUCAACAUUGAAGCAUUCGAUAUUGGGUUUCGGUGAGUAAGAAUAAUUCAAGAAAAACGUGGAACAAAUUUAGUAUGAUAACAGGAAAUAAAAAGUGUAAUGAUUUCAUUUUUUCAUUGCAUUUCAUUUAUUUUUCCAUUUCCAACAAUCAUUUACAAUAAGUUUUGUUACAUACAUCUUGAUAUAAUCAAUAUAACAAAGAAACUUAUUAUAUGUAAUAAUUAAGAUAACAGGUCGGAAACGGAGGAGGCUGCUAAAAAAGCGAAGCUUGUAGAAUGCAGCCUCAUAUUACAUAUUUGUAUGAACAAUGUAAACAAAACACAAAUACAACAUGUAGAAGUUCAGCUUAAAUCUAUUUAAAUGAAUAGUUU